rnacentral:rRNA from 1 species
UACGGAGGGUGCAAGCGUUAAUCGGAAUUACUGGGCGUAAAGCGCGCGUAGGUGGUUCAGCAAGUUGGAUGUGAAAGCCCUGGGCGUCAACCUACGGAACGUAGCAUCCAAAACCUAACUGAGCUAGAGUACGGUAGAGGUAGUGAUUACCUGUGUAGCGGUGAAUAGCGUAGAUAUAGGAAGGAACACCAGUGGCGAAGGCGACCACCUGGACUGAUACUGACACUGAGGUGCGAAAGACGUGGGGAGGCAAAC